UUGUUUCCAUUCUGAGUCAAUGAGACAUUGUUUUGAUUCCCUCUUGUAUUUAACCAAAACAGGCAAAGAGAUUCGCUACUUGGCCAAAAUACAAACCCUAAAAUGAGAUAUCAUCUCGUGUGUGUCUUGUUGCUGCUGCUCCAAGCAUGCGCAAUAUCUUCCAACUACACGCGGGAAAGCAUGGUGAAGAGAGGAAUGUACCUUCCCAUAUCCUUCACCACCUCGCAACCACCAUCAUAUUUUUGCUACCACUCCAGAAAACUAUGCUACGUGCCAGGUGUAUCCAGUGGUUGGCGUGGUUGGUACCGCAAAGGCUUCAGUGGAUAUUUCAUUCACCAGUCGUGGAUGUACUACAUGAGCAAGGUCACGUGUCCUUGCAUUUUCCCACAGCCUCCAAAGCAUAACGUUGGCUCUGAAGAGAGUAUAUUGGUACCAGAGUGAGACUGCAAUAAUCUUAGUAAAACGAGAAACUAUUUUUCCAAAGUUCCAUUGUAAUCUAACUGUAUAAAGAAUGUCAAGACAUAUGUAUUGGUGAUAUACCUUUAUUUUACAAAAUUGCAACUUUUCUUUAGACAAUUGUCUGGAGAACAGAUUACUCGAAGCUUUUGUUCCUUUUUUGUUGUU